rnacentral:rRNA from 1 species
UCCAGCAAGCCUUUUUUUCAACCUUUGACCUCGGAUCAGGUAGGGAUACCCGCUGAACUUAAGCAUAUCAAUAA